GGUCCAGGGGUAACUGCAGGCCUCUUCCUCCCUGUCAUCUUCAUUUGCCUCCUCCUGAUCACUCCCUGCCUCUGUCCCUCUCUCUGAAUCUGCAGCCUCCUCUUCAUCCCUCACAGUCAAGUCUUCCUUUCCCUCUUCUCUUUAACUCAAUUCU